rnacentral:rRNA from 1 species
GAACGAUGAUCUCCAGCUUGCUGGGGGGAUUAGUGGCGAACGGGUGAGUAACACGUGAGUAACCUGCCCUUAACUCUGGGAUAAGCCUGGGAAACUGGGUCUAAUACCGGAUAUGACUCCUCAUCGCAUGGUGGGGGGUGGAAAGCUUUUUGUGGUUUUGGAUGGACUCGCGGCCUAUCAGCUUGUUGGUGAGGUAAUGGCUCACCAAGGCGACGACGGGUAGCCGGCCUGAGAGGGUGACCGGCCACACUGGGACUGAGACACGGCCCAGACUCCUACGGGAGGCAGCAGUGGGGAAUAUUGCACAAUGGGCGCAAGCCUGAUGCAGCGACGCCGCGUGAGGGAUGACGGCCUUCGGGUUGUAAACCUCUUUCAGUAGGGAAGAAGCGAAAGUGACGGUACCUGCAGAAGAAGCGCCGGCUAACUACGUGCCAGCAGCCGCGGUAAUACGUAGGGCGCAAGCGUUAUCCGGAAUUAUUGGGCGUAAAGAGCUCGUAGGCGGUUUGUCGCGUCUGCCGUGAAAGUCCGGGGCUCAACUCCGGAUCUGCGGUGGGUACGGGCAGACUAGAGUGAUGUAGGGGAGACUGGAAUUCCUGGUGUAGCGGUGAAAUGCGCAGAUAUCAGGAGGAACACCGAUGGCGAAGGCAGGUCUCUGGGCAUUAACUGACGCUGAGGAGCGAAAGCAUGGGGAGCGAACAGGAUUAGAUACCCUGGUAGUCCAUGCCGUAAACGUUGGGCACUAGGUGUGGGGGACAUUCCACGUUUUCCGCGCCGUAGCUAACGCAUUAAGUGCCCCGCCUGGGGAGUACGGCCGCAAGGCUAAAACCUCAAGGAAUUGACGGGGGCCCGCA